rnacentral:misc_RNA from 1 species
AACCCUCAAGCCUAGCUUGGUAUUGGGUGCUUGUCCCGCCUCCGCGCGGUCGACUCACCUCAAAGUCAUUGGCAGCCCGCAUCCGCCGGCCGUGAGCGCAGCACAGACGCGCCCGUGGUCCCGGCGGUUCGGCUCUCCAGAAGCUUGUUUUAACCCC